rnacentral:tRNA from 1 species
GUUAAGGUGGCAGAGCCUGGCAAAUGCAAAAGACCUAAGCUCUUUAACUCAGAGGUUCAACUCCUCUCCUUAACC